rfam:Prevotella sp. CAG:520 genomic scaffold, scf146
GCGGCAAUAGCUCAGUUGGUAGAGCACUCGCUUCCCAAGCCAGAGGUCACGGGUUCGAACCCCGCUUGCCGCU